CUUAAAAUCAUUAAAAUUAAUUUUGCCAAACCAAAAAAGCAAACAGCCCAGCUUGUGCUAACCCCCACUUUGCCGGCCAUAGAAUAUAUAAGCUUACUCCAGGGCUUUCGGCACAUCCAAGCUCGACUCAGCGAAAGGGAAAUGCCACAUCACGCCCAGAACGGCUCGAUGUUGCGUGACGAGAUGUGGGCAACCUUUAUGCGUUUAGUAGGUCACUCGGAUGGAGACCCCGCAGAUCGAGAUUGAGGGUGAUGGAGAUGCUUCUAGGGGGGAGCUGUGAUUUGGGGCCAAUCAAUGCAGCGCGCGUAAAAGGCAUUAUCAAUACGAAAAAUACAAAAAGUACGAAUACGAGACAGAUAUAAAGGGGCCGCCACUUGGAGCAUGUCGCGCAUGCGCAAUUACAAAGUCAUUUCAACGCCCCUCUGUGAACCGCUCCCUUGCAUCGACAUUCUCCCCCUGGUUGCAAUGAUUGAGCGCAUUCGUUAAGUUGCAUAUUGUUUAAUGCAAUAUUAUGAAAUGGUCACGAGAAAAAGAGACUAGGGAUAGGGAUAUUGCUGUCGAUUAACGAGGGGAGAAGACCCCAAUCCCCUUUAUUUUUUGCCAUAAUUUAUUAACCCAGUAGGACCACUAAA